rnacentral:rRNA from 1 species
AUGAACGCUGGCGGCGUGCCUAAUACAUGCAAGUCGAGCGCACGGACGAGAAGCUUGCUUCUCUGAUGUUAGCGGCGGACGGGUGAGUAACACGUGGAUAACCUACCUAUAAGACUGGGAUAACUUCGGGAAACCGGAGCUAAUACCGGAUAAUAUUUUGAACCGCAUGGUUCAAAAGUGAAAGACGGUCCUGCUGUCACUUAUAGAUGGAUCCGCGCUGCAUUAGCUAGUUGGUAAGGUAACGGCUUACCAAGGCAACGAUGCAUAGCCGACCUGAGAGGGUGAUCGGCUACACUGGAACUGAGACACGGUCCAGACUCCUACGGGAGGCAGCAGUAGGGAAUCUUCCGCAAUGGGCGAAAGCCUGACGGAGCAACGCCGCGUGAGUGAUGAAGGUCUUCGGAUCGUAAAACUCUGUUAUUAGGGAAGAACAUAUGUGUAAGUAACUGUGCACAUCUUGACGGUACCUAAUCAGAAAGCCACGGCUAACUACGUG